GGGAAUUGCAAUGACAGUCAUGUUUCAGGAAAAGAAUUGUUCCAAAGAGGUUCUUCAUUUUACACUCAUUAAAUACAUAAGUAAGUUAUUUGAUUUAGGAAAUUUCAGAUCUGUUUUAUUGUGAUAUUUUAAGAACUACCAACUGGAGAGAUGGUGUAAGUCUGUGAACUAGUGACUAAUGAAUAUGCAUUAAAAUACAAAAUACUAUAAAAAGACUUUUAGCUCCUGGUGCUGUUUUUCCAAGGCAUUCCGUAAUUUUCCCCAAGGAAGGAAGGGUUUGAAAGGGGGGCACUAGGAAUGGCAAUUUGCAUAGAAACCAAUCUCACAGGACUUGUAGAUACAGAAGCAGGACCAAGAUCCAGAGACUACUGGACAGCUGGGACCAAGCCCCUCUCCACAGCUUUGGCUGAUGUGGCUGGCGAUGUCUUCAGAACAAUCUGCCUUACUAGCACGUGUUAGAGCUGCAAUGUGUUCUACACUUCUCCUUUCUGCAACAAUGGAGUUGAGGAACACUCUCUGCUCUUUUCCCCUUCCAGGUGAGACCAUGUAUGCCGGUGCAGUUACUUUGUUUUCAAUGCAGUCAGCUCUUACAGCAAUGAGCACACGGGACUCACACAGGUUUAAAAUUCCAAAGCUUGAAUUUGAGCCACAACGCACG
rnacentral:lncRNA from 1 species